rnacentral:lncRNA from 12 species
AUGAGGAAUGUCUGCCAGCCUGCAGUGCAUUUGUCUUUCUUCUGCCCACCACAGCAAAUUCAGGAUCAUCUUGCCUUUAAGUCCUCAAGAAACCUCCAGCCAAGUAGGCCGAACACUGUGUCCUCACGCUGGUGCGUCUCCAGGGCUGGUGCACGCAUAUCGGCACCUGCAUCCGUAGGAAGUGCAAUGGUGGGAGGUCUGGGGUUGGGGGGAGAAGGAUGGGAGGUGUCGGCACGCCGGGACCCCUGGAAAUCCUGAGGGAGGGAGCCAGACGGCACGGAAUUUGGGGUGGACAGCUGGCGACCCUUGGGUGACCUUGGUCCGACUUGGCAGUUAGAACUUCACGCUCUGGACCCCCCUCUGGGCAGCGGGGAACCACCGGUGAUGCGGUAGUUGCACUUUCAGAUUUGCGCCUGGGGACCCUCGCUCUGGCAGAGGGAGGGGAGAAACCAGGUGCAGCAGCAGGGAAAGGCCCAGAAGGAAGAGAAAACCCAGUAAGAAAAUGGCAAGUCACUGAAGCAAGGGCCGCAGGCUUGGGCAGGAGGCCCGAUCCAAGAAGUCUCAGAGGAAGAGCCCUGGAGAGAUCUCUGGCUUGGGGGACGUGGGGCCCACGCUCUCCGCAGCCUGGAGAGCAGAGUCUGGGAGGACUGGGCUCUCCCAGGAUACACUGGGGCUAGUGGGAAAGAGUCACAGGCGGGGCCUUUGGUCCUGACGGUGGCCCCCGCACAUCUGAGGCAGGUGGUGGCGGACACCUGCACCCGGAGGCCGGGACCGGACAGGGUCUCACUCAAGACGAGGCAGCGGCGGCUCCCGUGGAGGGGGGUGAAGAAGGGGAGAAGGGGGAACCCCGGGG